rnacentral:rRNA from 1 species
CCUACGGGUGGCAGCAGUGAGGAAUCUUGGUCAAUGGACGAGAGUCUGAACCAGCCAAGUAGCGUGAAGGAUGACUGCCCUCUGGGUUGUAAACUUCUUUUAUAUGGGAGUAAAAUGUUCCACGUGUGGGUUUUUGUAUGUACCAUAUGAAUAAGGAACGGCUAACUCCGUGCCAGCAGCCGCGGUAAUAGGGAGGUUCGGUGCGUUAUCCGGAUUUAUUUGGUUUAAAGGGAGCGUAGGGGGAUUGUUAAGUCAGUUGUGAAAGUUUGCGGCUCAACCGUAAAAUUGCAGUUGAAACUGGCAGUCUUGAGUACAGUAGAGGUGGGCGGAAUUCGUGGUGUAGCGGUGAAAUGCGUAGAUAUCACGAAGAACUCCGGUUGCGAAGGCAGCUCACUGGACUGCAACUGACACUGAGGCUCGAAAGUGUGGGUAUCAAACAGGAUUAGAUACCCCAGUAGUC